AUAAAAAUUGUGGAGGAGAGAGUGCGGUACGAAAGCCUAAGAGAAGGCGACAAACCGGUCGAUGAGUUGUAUCAGCAGCAGGGUGAGAAGUCUUCAGGUAAUAUGAAAUAAGAGGAGGGACUGAAUGAGACAUAACCUCCGUGAAGACUUCUUGUGGUGAUGAAAAGACUGUCUCGAAAUUAGAGAUGGGCUCUGAGAGAACCAACCCAGGCCAUGAGUUUAAAUGACCUAAACCUAUAGGAAUUUGUCACACCACUGCCACAUCAGCCUUAGAUUCGCCAAAUAAGGACAUGUGUGCUUGGAUUGGCUAUUCCCUGUUUCCUUGUUCUUUGUCUUCAGGGAAGAUUUUCUUUCCCGCCUAGAAUGUAAGCCCGCCUCCCAGCUAAUGGGAGUAAGGGAUAGUGGUGGGUGGAGGAUUUUUGUGUUAGGGUAUAUAAUCUCAUUCCAUUUUGUGUGCCUGGCCCUUCUGGAGAGAUUGCUUCCACCUUGAGAAGUCUCUGAGUUUAAUUUGAUUUAGAGUCACUGUACUGCACAAUCUGAUAAAUAGGAAAUAAUUCACAGAAGGAAGGCUUCCUGUAGGAGGUAGGCGCUGAGGUUUCAUCUGUGUCCAUACUGCGUGGCACCCUGCUUCGUGUGUGGUGGCUACUGAGCAGAUGCCCUGCAGCAUCAGGCGCUCAGUGAAGGAGCUGAUGGCGGCCUGACCGUUUUGAGGGAUCUUUCUUGGAAAUGCUGUGUAGCAUGAGAGGAACCAUAAGACUGAAGAAGGUUUUCGAAAAGGAAACAGAAUGCAGCCUGCAGACGUGGACAGUUGGCCUUGGAUUCCAGGCAAACUUCUUAAAAGAAAGCGGCCUUAGACCCAGCAUGGAACAAAAGCCUGCUGCAGGUGAAGUUCGUCUCCAUCUAGAUUUAGUGGAGUCCAAGGAGGCUUCUCGUGCUAGCCUCAGGGGAAACGCGGAGCCCCGGGUCGGAUGUCAAACUGCUCAGAACUGGAGAAGUGCAGUUCAGUUCUCAGAGCCAGUGGGAAAAGCUCGAUGGCUCCAGCAGCUCUGUGGCCUUGUUGGGGGGGGGGGUUGUUAGUCUUUAAUUAGGCGUGGGUGAGUGUGCUAAGAGAAAAAUGAGGAGUAAAAAGGCUGUACAAAGAAGCCAGAAACAUAGGUUGAGGGGGAGAGGAGAAAAAGAAGGGCUGGCUCAUCAGGCCUCGUGCAGCUCUGGGACCUCGAAGAGCUGUCUGUCUCAUGAAGUGAUCUGCUUCUGGGAAGCAUUCUCCCCUGGAAAUUCUGGAUCAAAGGUAACUGCCCUUGACUAUUGCCCAUAAACUAUCCAGUUAAUCUAAUUAAACUCAAAGAUACUCUUUCCUGAAUCAGUAUUUUAGUCUCUUUACUAGUACCUGGAAUGGACCUUAUUUCUAGGGCAGGUUGGCAGAAGCGUUUCUUCUGGUAGGUCCUUUUCCGGGUUUCAAACCACUUUAAUGCUGCCUAAAUCUGCAUGUAAUAAGACCUAGUGUGAUUUAGUGGGGCCUUACAAAACCUAAUCACACUGACCUUCAUGUGGUAAAAGCCACACAAUUAUCAGCGCCAUAGAAAGCACGUCAGGUUAAGCUGCCUGCAGCUUGUCUGAAAGUCUGGAGGGUUUCAGGCACACAUCAUUGGUUCCUUCUCUCCUGCCUGAAUCUUGUGCGUGGUACAGACGAUUCAAGCUGUAGGCUGGAGGAGGAAUCUUAAACAGGACCCAGAGGCCUGCACUUGUAAAAGUCUUCAAGGAGAGACUUCAAGGGGGGAGGGAGGACGUAAUUUAAAAUUUUCUUUACACCUUAAUUUUACAUGUGACAUCUGAGGUCUAGUUUAAUAAUUUAUAAACAAUUAACAAAAUCUGCAUAUUUUAGGCUGUGUGUGUGUUUAAAUUAAUCUGUAUGGGUUCAGAUGGGACCUGAAGGAAGGUCAGUACUUUACUUUGCUCUGUCUUGUUCUCAU